rnacentral:rRNA from 1 species
CCCUUAGAUGUUCUGGGCUGCACGCGCGCUACACUGAAGCUAUCAACACGUUUUCCCUCCCUGAGAAGGGCGGGUAACCUUUUGAAUCAGCUUCGUGGUAGGGAUCGGGGCUCGCAAUUGUUCCCCGUGAACCAGGAAUUCCUAGUAGACGCGAGUCAUAAGCUCACAUCGAUUAAGUCCCUGCCCUUUGUACACACCGCCCGUCGCUACUACCGAUUGAACGUUUUAGUGAGGCAUUUGGACCGACGCAUCUCAGUUUAACCGCUGGUUUGUGUUGGAAAGACUUCCAAACUUGAGCGUUUAGAGGAAGUAAAAGUCGUAACA